AAGGGAGACGUUUGAAUUAUC
rnacentral:miRNA from 1 species